rnacentral:sRNA from 1 species
UUAUUUUUGUUCGGUGUAGAAAAUUAAUACUUUGAGCAGGGAUAGUAAUAUAUUUGUGUGGCAACGCACUAGGAGGCAACAUACAUGGAAACAGGUACAGUUAAAUGGUUUAACGCAGAAAAAGGUUUCGGAUUCAUCGAGCGCGAAGAAGGAGACGAUGUAUUCGUACACUUCUCUGCUAUUCAAUCUGAAGGAUUCAAAUCUUUAGACGAAGGCCAAAAAGUAACUUUCGACGUUGAGCAAGGUGCUCGUGGAGCUCAAGCUGCUAACGUUCAAAAAGCAUAAAUUGCUUUAAACAGUCUCUUGAUGAUCAAGAGGCUGUUUUU